rnacentral:rRNA from 1 species
UACGUAGGUGGCAAGCGUUGUCCGGAUUUACUGGGCGUAAAGAGCGCGCAGGCGGUCGUAUAAGUCGAAUGUGAAAGCCCCCGGCUCAACUGGGGAGGGUCAUUCGAUACUGUUCGACUCGAAGGCAGGAGAGGGAAGUGGAAUUCCGGGUGUAGUGGUGAAAUGCGUAGAUAUCUGGAGGAACACCGGUGGCGAAGGCGACAUCCUGGACCAACACUGACGCUGAGGAGCGAAAGCCAGGGGAGCAAACGGG